rnacentral:rRNA from 1 species
UGCAAGUCGAGCGAGAGACCCUUCGGGGAAUCAAGCGGCGAACGGGUGAGUAACACGUAGGUAACCUGCCUUUUAGUUUGGGAUACCCGAUGGAAACGUCGGCUAAUACCGGAUACGUACUUUGGAGGCAUCUCCGAAGUAUAAAAGGGGCCUUAAAGCCUCGCUAAUAGAUGGACCUGCGGCGCAUUAGUUAGUUGGUGAGAUAACAGCCCACCAAGACGAGGAUGCGUAGCCGACCUGAGAGGGUGAUCGGCCACAUUGGGACUGAGACACGGCCCAGACUCC